rnacentral:rRNA from 1 species
UAAACAACUAUAUUGUUUGUGUAGAAUGCAUUAGCCUCAUUGUAGGUGAAAUAACUAUACAACUUUCAACAACGGAUCUCUUGGCUCUCGCAUCGAUGAAGAACGCAGCGAAAUGCGAUAAGUAAUGUGAAUUGCAGAAUUCAGUGA